AUUGAACGCUGGCGGCAUGCCUUACACAUGCAAGUCGAACGGUAACAGGUCUUCGGAUGCUGACGAGUGGCGAACGGGUGAGUAAUACAUCGGAACGUGCCCGAGAGUGGGGGAUAACGAAGCGAAAGCUUUGCUAAUACCGCAUACGAUCUCAGGAUGAAAGCAGGGGACCGCAAGGCCUUGCGCUCACGGAGCGGCCGAUGGCAGAUUAGGUAGUUGGUGGGAUAAAAGCUUACCAAGCCGACGAUCUGUAGCUGGUCUGAGAGGACGACCAGCGACACGGGGCCUGAGACACGGCCCAGACUCCUACGGGAGGCAGCAGUGGGGAAUUUUGGACGAUGGGCGCAAGCCUGAUCCAGCCAUGCCGCGUGCAGGAUGAAGGCCUUCGGGUUGUAAACUGCUUUUGUACGGAACGAAAAGACUCUGGUUAAUACCUGGGGUCCAUGACGGUACCGUAAGAAUAAGCACCGGCUAACUACGUGCCAGCCGCCGCCGUAAUAC
rnacentral:rRNA from 1 species